UUAAGCGACUAAGCGUACACGGUGGAUGCCUAGGCAGUCAGAGGCGAUGAAGGGCGUGCUAAUCUGCGAAAAGCGUCGGUAAGCUGAUAUGAAGCGUUAUAACCGACGAUACCCGAAUGGGGAAACCCAGUGCAAUACGUUGCACUAUCGUUAGAUGAAUACAUAGUCUAACGAGGCGAACCGGGGGAACUGAAACAUCUAAGUACCCCGAGGAAAAGAAAUCAACCGAGAUUCCCCCAGUAGCGGCGAGCGAACGGGGAGGAGCCCAGAGUCUGAAUCAGUUUGUGUGUUAGUGGAAGCGUCUGGAAAGUCGCACGGUACAGGGUGAUAGUCCCGUACACCAAAUGCACAGGCUGUGAACUCGAUGAGUAGGGCGGGACACGUGACAUCCUGUCUGAAUAUGGGGGGACCAUCCUCCAAGGCUAAAUACUCCUGACUGACCGAUAGUGAACCAGUACCGUGAGGGAAAGGCGAAAAGAACCCCGGCGAGGGGAGUGAAAUAGAACCUGAAACCGUGUACGUACAAGCAGUGGGAGCACCUUCGUGGUGUGACUGCGUACCUUUUGUAUAAUGGGUCAGCGACUUAUAUUUUGUAGCAAGGUUAACCGAAUAGGGGAGCCGUAGGGAAACCGAGUCUUAACUGGGCGUCUAGUUGCAAGGUAUAGACCCGAAACCCGGUGAUCUAGCCAUGGGCAGGUUGAAGGUUGGGUAACACUAACUGGAGGACCGAACCGACUAAUGUUGAAAAAUUAGCGGAUGACUUGUGGCUGGGGGUGAAAGGCCAAUCAAACCGGGAGAUAGCUGGUUCUCCCCGAAAGCUAUUUAGGUAGCGCCUCGUGAACUCAUCUUCGGGGGUAGAGCACUGUUUCGGCUAGGGGGCCAUCCCGGCUUACCAAACCGAUGCAAACUCCGAAUACCGAAGAAUGUUAUCACGGGAGACACACGGCGGGUGCUAACGUCCGUCGUGAAGAGGGAAACAACCCAGACCGCCAGCUAAGGUCCCAAAGUCAUGGUUAAGUGGGAAACGAUGUGGGAAGGCACAGACAGCCAGGAUGUUGGCUUAGAAGCAGCCAUCAUUUAAAGAAAGCGUAAUAGCUCACUGGUCGAGUCGGCCUGCGCGGAAGAUGUAACGGGGCUAAACCAUGCACCGAAGCUGCGGCAGCGACACUUAGGUGUUGUUGGGUAGGGGAGCGUUCUGUAAGCCGUUGAAGGUGACCUGUGAGGGUUGCUGGAGGUAUCAGAAGUGCGAAUGCUGACAUAAGUAACGAUAAUGCGGGUGAAAAACCCGCACGCCGGAAGACCAAGGGUUCCUGUCCAACGUUAAUCGGGGCAGGGUGAGUCGACCCCUAAGGCGAGGCUGAAAAGCGUAGUCGAUGGGAAACAGGUUAAUAUUCCUGUACUUGGUGUUACUGCGAAGGGGGGACGGAGAAGGCUAGGCUGGCCGGGCGACGGUUGUCCCGGUUUAAGCGUGUAGGGGGAGUGACCAGGUAAAUCCGGUUGCUUAUCAACCCUGAGGCGUGAUGACGAUGCACCACGGUGCAGAAGCAGUUGAUGCCAUGCUUCCAGGAAAAGCCUCUAAGCAUCAGGUAACAUUAAAUCGUACCCCAAACCGACACAGGUGGUCAGGUAGAGAAUACUCAGGCGCUUGAGAGAACUCGGGUGAAGGAACUAGGCAAAAUGGUGCCGUAACUUCGGGAGAAGGCACGCUGGCGUUAGGUGAAAGGACUAGCUCCUGGAGCUGAAGCCAGUCGCAGAUACCAGCUGGCUGCAACUGUUUAAUAAAAACACAGCACUGUGCAAACACGAAAGUGGACGUAUACGGUGUGACGCCUGCCCGGUGCUGGAAGGUUAAUUGAUGGGGUCAGCCGCAAGGCGAAGCUCUUGAUCGAAGCCCCAGUAAACGGCGGCCGUAACUAUAACGGUCCUAAGGUAGCGAAAUUCCUUGUCGGGUAAGUUCCGACCUGCACGAAUGGCGUAAUGAUGGCCAGGCUGUCUCCACCCGAGACUCAGUGAAAUUGAACUCGCUGUGAAGAUGCAGUGUACCCGCGGCAAGACGGAAAGACCCCGUGAACCUUUACUAUAGCUUGACACUGAACAUUGAGCCUUGAUGUGUAGGAUAGGUGGGAGGCCUUGAAGUGUGGACGCCAGUCUGCAUGGAGCCAACCUUGAAAUACCACCCUUUAAUGUUUGAUGUUCUAACUCGGCCCCAUGAUCUGGGGUGAGGACAGUGUCUGGUGGGUAGUUUGACUGGGGCGGUCUCCUCCCAAAGAGUAACGGAGGAGCACGAAGGUUAGCUAAUCACGGUCGGACAUCGUGAGGUUAGUGCAAAGGCAUAAGCUAGCUUGACUGCGAGAGUGACGGCUCGAGCAGGUACGAAAGUAGGUCUUAGUGAUCCGGUGGUUCUGAAUGGAAGGGCCAUCGCUCAACGGAUAAAAGGUACUCCGGGGAUAACAGGCUGAUACCGCCCAAGAGUUCAUAUCGACGGCGGUGUUUGGCACCUCGAUGUCGGCUCAUCACAUCCUGGGGCUGAAGUAGGUCCCAAGGGUAUGGCUGUUCGCCAUUUAAAGUGGUACGCGAGCUGGGUUUAGAACGUCGUGAGACAGUUCGGUCCCUAUCUGCCGUGGGCGUUGGAAGAUUGAGAGGGGCUGCUCCUAGUACGAGAGGACCGGAGUGGACGAAUCACUGGUGUUCGGGUUGUCAUGCCAAUGGCAUUGCCCGGUAGCUAAAUUCGGAAGAGAUAACCGCUGAAAGCAUCUAAGCGGGAAACUUGCCUCGAGAUGAGUCUUCCCUGGGGCUUAAAGCCCCCUGAAGGAACGUUAAAGACUAUGACGUUGAUAGGCUGGGUGUGUAAGUGCAGCGAUGUAUUGAGCUAACCAGUACUAAUGAUCCGUGAGGCUUAACCUU
rnacentral:rRNA from 1 species